UUGCCUACGGGAGGCAGCAGUGGGGAAUAUUGGGCAAUGGGCGCAAGCCUGACCCAGCAACGCCGCGUGAAGGAAGAAGGCUUUCGGGUUGUAAACUUCUUUUCUCAGGGACGAAGCAAGUGACGGUACCUGAGGAAUAAGCCACGGCUAACUACGUGCCAGCAGCCGCGGUAAUACGUAGGUGGCAAGCGUUAUCCGGAUUUACUGGGUGUAAAGGGCGUGUAGGCGGGAAAGCAAGUCAGCUGUGAAAACCACGGGCUCAACCUGGGGCCCGCAUUUGAAACUGGUUUUCUUGAG
rnacentral:rRNA from 1 species